rnacentral:rRNA from 1 species
UACAGAGGAGCCGAGCGUUGUCCGGAGUUACUGGGCGUAAAGCGCGCGCAGGCGGCCGUUCAAGUCUGGCGUGAAAGCCCCCGGCUCAACCGGGGAGGGUCGUCGGAGACUGGGCGGCUUGAGGGCGGCAGGGGCUGGUGGAAUUCCCGGUGUAGUGGUGAAAUGCGUAGAGAUCGGGAGGAACACCCGUGGCGAAGGCGGCCAGCUGGGCCGGUCCUGACGCUGAGGCGCGAAGGCGUGGGGAGCGAACGGG